rnacentral:rRNA from 1 species
CGGUAAUACGGAGGGUGCAAGCGUUAAUCGGAAUUACUGGGCGUAAAGCGCACGCAGGCGGUCUGUCAAGUCGGAUGUGAAAUCCCCGGGCUCAACCUGGGAACUGCAUUCGAAACUGGCAGGCUAGAGUCUUGUAGAGGGGAGUAGAAUUCCAGGUGUAGCGGUGAAAUGCGUAGAGAUCUGGAGGAAUACCGGUGGCGAAGGCGGCCCCCUGGACAAAGACUGACGCUCAGGUGCGAAAGCGUGGGGAGCAAACAGGAUUAGAUACCCUGGUAGUCCACGCCGUAAACGAUGUCGAUUUGGAGGUUGUGCCCUUGAGGCGUGGCUUCCGGAGCUAACGCGUUAAAUCGACCGCCUGGGGAGUACGGCCGCAAGGUUAAAACUCAAAUGAAUUGACGGGGGCCCGCACAAGCGGUGGAGCAUGUGGUUUAAUUCGAUGCAACGCGAAGAACCUUACCUGGUCUUGGCAUCCACAGAACUUAGCAGAGAUGCUUUGGUGCCUUCGGGAACUGUGAGACAGGUGCUGCAUGGCUGUCGUCAGCUCGUGUUGUGAAAUGUUGGGUUAAGUCCCGCAACGAGCGCAACCCUUAUCCUUUGUUGCCAGCGGUUA